AUACAGCUGGAUUGCAGUGAGAGGCACGGAUAAACGAGAUGUGGCUUUCUUCAAAACUGGGGACAUCCUGAAAAUUGUAAGCUUGGUUUAAUAUACAGAAUAGACUCGUGUUCCUGUCAUCAUAUGAUCAAGAUUCAAGGUGCAUUGUAACUGAUGGGUAUUCAUAACCACUGCAGGAUCCCACAGCAGAGUCAAUGGAGAUAAAAUCACAAGUCACAGUCCGCUGAUGUCUUGUUUAACAACUGCAGGUCAGAAGAUCGCAAAAGGGGAUCACACUGCAACCAUCAUAAAAUAUGAACCAGUUGCCAAACCUUUGGAUUUUGAACACGUGACCACAGGAAGGCUGCAAUGCCAUAAGGGUGCAAAAU